GGAUGGUUGGCCUCAGUGUCUUCAACCCAAGGUGGUCCCAAAGCAGCCUUCUUGCAAGGACAUUCAGUGCCCCAAAGGGACGUCGUGUAGGAUGACAGAUGGGUGGCCCCACUGUGUGCAGAACCAGCCCUCCUGCCAGGAUGUCCAGUGUCAGAAGGGAACUGUGUGCCAGAUGGUGGAUGGAUGGCCUCAUUGUGUCCAAAUCAAGACUUCCAUCAGGAGACCCACCUGUAGUGACCUACAGUGUUCCAAAGGUUCAGUGUGUGAGACGGUGGAUGGUUGGCCCCAGUGUGUUCAACCCAAGGUGGUCUCAAGGCAGCCUUCUUGCAAGGACAUG
ensembl:lncRNA